rnacentral:rRNA from 1 species
UAGGGAAUAUUGCAAAAUGGGCGAAAGCCCGAUGCAGCAACGCCGCGUGGGCGAUGAAGGCCUUCGGGUCGUAAAGCCCUUUUUGAGUGGAUGAGGAAGGACAGUACCCUCAGAAUAAGCCUCGGCUAACUACGUGCCAGCAGCCGCGGUAAAACGUAGGAGGCGAGCGUUAUCCGGAUUUACUGGGCGUAAAGGAUGCGUAGGCGGAUACUUAAGUCAGAUGUGAAAAUCCCGGGCUUAACUUGGGAACUGCAUUUGAAACUGGGUAUCUAGAGUGCGGGAGAGNAAAGUGGAAUUCCUAGUGUAGCGGUGAAAUGCGUAGAGAUUAGGAAGAACACCAGUGGCGAAGGCGACUUUCUGGACCGUAACUGACGCUGAGGCAUGAAAGCGUGGGUAGCAAACA